UUGGAGGGCAAGUCUGGUGCCAGCAGCCGCGGUAAUUCCAGCUCCAAUAGCGUAUAUUAAAGUUGUUGCAGUUAAAAAGCUCGUAGUUGAAUUUCGGGGUCAGUAGAUUGGUCGUGCCACUGGUAUGUACUGGUCUUACUGGCUCCUCCUUCCUGAUGAACCGUAAUGCCAUUAAUUUGGUGUUGCGGGGAGACUGGACUGUUACUUUGAAAAAAUUAGAGUGUUUAAAGCAGGCUAACGCUUGAAUACAUUAGCAUGGAAUAAUGAAAUAGGACGUUCGAUCUUAUUUUGUUGGUUUCUAGGAUUGACGUAAUGAUUAAUAGGGAUAGUUGGGGGCAUUA
rnacentral:rRNA from 1 species